GGGCAUGUGGUUUAGUGGUAUAACAUUCGCUUAGCAACCUUAGGUGCGAAAGGUCCCGCCUUCAAUUCGCCGCUUGUCCA
rnacentral:tRNA from 1 species